rnacentral:rRNA from 1 species
AAACUUAAAUGAAUUGACGGGGCCCGCACAAGCGGUGGAGCAUGUGGUUUAAUUCGAUGCAACGCGAAGAACCUUACCUGGGCUUGACAUCCCGGGAAUCCCUUGGAAACAAGGGAGUGCCCUUCGGGGAACCUUGGAGACAGGUGGUGCAUGGUUGUCGUCAGCUCGUGUCGUGAGAUGUUGGGUUAAGUCCCGCAACGAGCGCAACCCCUACGUUUAGUUGCUAACGCGUGAAGGCGAGCACUCUAGACGAACUGCCGUUGACAAAACGGAGGAAGGUGGGGAUGACGUCAAAUCGUCAUGCCCCUUAUGUUCUGGGCUACACACGUGCUACAAUGGCCGGUACAGACGGACGCAAAGCCGCGAGGUGGAGCAAAUCCUAAAAAGCCGGUCUCAGUUCGGAUUGCAGGCUGCAAUUCGCCUGCAUGAAGUCGGAAUCGCUAGUAAUCGCAGGUCAGCAUACUGCGGUCGAAUACGUUCCCGGGCCUU